rnacentral:lncRNA from 1 species
CCUUGGGCAUCAAAAGGUUUUUUUAAAAUAAUGUGCAAAUACAUUUGAGCCAUGUCCCGAGGUGAUAACCACCAAGUCAGGAUAACAAAAUCGAACUUGAACUAGCGUACAUACCCCUACUCUUGCUAACACCCUUAGGUAUUUGGUUUGAAAAUGAUCAUUCUGGAAUAACUAAUUAUCCCGAAAUAAAAUAAAAGAAUACAUUUUUCUUUAUUUGGUUGGAGGAAUUAAUACAAUCCGAGAUAACUUAUCCCACCAUUUUUAUCCCAUAUACAUGGUGGGAUAUGUUAUUCCGGGAUAACCAUUUUCAAAUCAAACGAUCCCUUAGAAUUAGAUACGUCCUCUUCCUCUUUCUAAAGUACAAAUCCCUUAGCUCUUAGAUCUAGACUUCCAAUAUGGCUAGCCAAAUCAUAGGACUUAUCAAUCUCCCUCUUGAAUUUUAGAUGUUGCUUUUUGAACUCAUGAAGGAUGAAUGCCAAGAUAAACUGUGUCCUAUGUCAUCUUGAGGUCAAGGACUUUUCUUCGAGCAAACUCCUACUUCUCCAAUGUGUUGAACCUCUUUUUCAUAUGAUGGAUCUUGGCCCUAGUUGGCUCUUAAGUAGAAGGAGAUGGGGAAUGCCCCUUUGAGUGAGGGUUGCACAAGCAGGCAGUAUAAAUGUAGAAGGAGAUGGGGAAUGCCCCUUUGAGUGAGGGUUGCACAAGCAGGCAGUAUAAAUGUAUUUAUCCCUUGAGAAGGGUGCUGAUAGAACUAGACUAUAAAAGGUUCUCCUGUUGGAGAAUGGCCACUUGCUCUGCUAGAAGGGAAGCACAUCCCUUUGAUGGUUAUCCCUUUUAAUUUGAAGUGCAUAAAAUUUGGCCUUGAGCACUUUAAUUUCUGAUAACCACUAGGUUGUAAUAUUGGCAGAAAUGCUCGACUCUUGCAAAAUAUAUAGAGAACCUUUGAGCCCCAGAGUCUCACCAGUAACUUUCCUUCUCCAUCAAUAAUCAUUGAAGCACCUCAACCAUUAAGACACUUGCCUAAAAAAAGAAGCAUGUUAGGAGUUGUUCCUAAAGAAAAAUAAAAGGGGGACAAGUAUAACUUACCCUCACUAUAUAAUGAGAGACAUAAUUUAUUUAUGCAUUGAAUAAAGGUCUCUUUCAUUUUGUGAUAGUCCUUUGAGGAAAUGCCGAUAUUUACAUAAUUAGUUACCUUAAUCAGCCUUGAGAUAAACAAGGUUUACCUCACUAAGAACAACUAAGAUGGUCGUCUAUUAAUACGAGGUAGCAUGAUCAGUAGAAGGAUCUAUACCUACAAGACUUAAGAUGAAGAAAGAACUAGCAUUCGAAAACUCAAACACACAGGGAUAGGUGGAGAUACUACCUUUGACUAUGACUAGCCCUACAAGGGAUGAUCUUAGUUAAAAUAGGUAUAGCACGAGGUGGACCCCUUAUCAUUCCUUUCAUUGUCCAUAAAAUAAAAUAGCUUGGCUAUCUCAUACUCAACAAAGAUGGGAGAUUUCUCCCAAUUAUUUGAAGUUACGUAAGGUAAGCUAUCAGAACUCCCAAUGGAAACUACUUUUCUUCAAGAUUAUAUUCUCUUGUUAAUUAUGAUAGUACCAGUAAUUCCCCAAACUACUAGAGCUAUGGGGAACAAGAGAAUUGUUAGAAAGAAGUUCCAGGCUUGUGUCUGUCUGAGAAUGGAAGUGACUCUCAAAAGUCCAUCCAACAAGGCUAAGAGACACAACAAAAGAUGGGAGAAUCACAGAGUCUGGCUUCAAAAAUGGUGUAGAAAAGAGCAUAAGAAAUAUCCUAAAAAUUUUAAAAUAAUUAAGGCUUACUCAAAUAUAAAAGAUCCUUAUCGUGAUUCUUUGCUUUCCAUCCAUGAUAGCUUGAUACACUAGCACAGGUGUGGUUAUCUACAGUGGUACAUUUGAGAAUAAAGCCACCUAAAGGAAAAUCAUCUAGGUUUUACCAAAGAGCUUGCUGUCUCAAGGUAGAUGCCACUGUGGAUCUAUGAAAUAUGCAUAAAAAAGUGACGUACUAAUGAGAAGCAAGGUAAAAAAGAGAUAUAAUGCACAAAAACUUAAGAUGAGUAUUCCAUGGAAAUAUAUAAAAAGCCCCAAAGAGGCCUGUAAGGGAUACAUAAAGUGAUCAGUCCACUCAUAGUCUUGGAAUCACCCAAGCAGAUUAUAAUUAACUUAUUUCCCCAGUAGAGGAUUUAGUGCCCUAAUAGAUCAAUUUAAUUAUCUCACCCUGUAGCAAGCAUAGGAAAUAGAGUAUAAGAAGAUGAGUCAAGGUAAAACUAACACCCAACAUAAAAGUAAGUGCAUGAAUAUAGGUGAUAGUUUGCCACACUCCCGAGUUUAGUUGGCCAAGGGACAGUUAAAAAGUGUUGCAGAAGUAAGAGACCACCUCGUCUAUUAGAUUACCAAGGCCGAUACUAAGCAUGUAUAUGUAAACAUAAAAGAUUUGGCAUUUAGCAAAUAAUAUUAUCACCAAGCUUAGAAAUCUCCCAAUAAAUCCUUAUUUCUUCCAAUCUGCACUCUUAGAUAAUUAGGAAAGAGAGUCCUCCUUUGCCAGGCAGCCCAACCUGUAUACAAGUAUUCCAUUGAGAUCCUCAUUAAGCUGGUUAAAAAAUCCUCCAAAACUUUGAACAAACUAGGUACUACUUUGUCAAUAAUGGACCCAAGAAAGAAGGGUUAUUACCUUUUUCUUUACUAUAGAAGUAUUAGAUCUGAGUUAGGGGUGUCCUCUUUCAUUGAGGGAGUAGAUAUCAGGCAAAAAACCGCAUAAGAGAUUAAAAUUUUAACUCUAGAAAGAUAAGAGAUAAAGGAAAAGGUAGAAGUCAAAACCCAUAGGUUAAGUUUGUAUGAUGAAAGAAGCAAGCCCAAACUCUAUCUUGGAAAAGGUGUUUUUGAUUGAAUCAACACGUAGGGUGUGUUUAGUACGAAGGAAAACACUUUCUGCAAAAUAUUUUUUAGUUUUCUCCGAUUCUAUUUUUCAAAUCAA